UUUUUUUUUUUUUUUUCCCCUCAUUGUCAUGCUCUUAGUGUCUAGAAACAAGGCUGGCACACAGCCAGAGAUCAAUAAUAUUGGUUAAGUGAAUGCAUUUAAUUACUGUAUAUACUCAGUCCACAUUUUAUGCCUUCCUAAUGUUAUUCUGAAAUUUCUUCCUUUAAAUAAAAGUUUUAUUAUAUAAGCAAUACAAAUCCAUAGUGAGAAUUUAAAAAAAAGAGGAAAAUAAGAACCUUCAGCAAUCUCCCCAUGCCACUAGUACACUGAGGAGUAUUCUCUCAUGGAUUUUACUUAUUCAUGGAUACAAAUGUAUUUUUGCAAAUUCAUUCAUUCAAAUAUUAGUUAUCACAUGUUCACCAUAUUUCAGGUGCUGUGCUCAGCACUGGGAUCUUACUGUGCAGUUGACAUUUAGGGCUGGAAAAUUCUUGAUAUGGGGUUGCACUGUGCAUUAGCCUUUACUCAGUGGAUGCCAGCAGCACCUCUCUAGUCAUGAUGGUCAAAUGUCUCUAGACAUUGCCAAAUGUCCCUAAGGGCAAGGGUGGGCAGAAAUGGGCCGUAUUGAGACUUGCUGGUCUAGAGGAGGAGAGGGAAUGUUUGUAAAGGAUCAGUCAUACUGUAUGCUGUCUCAAGUGCCCAUAAAUUGGCACUCACCAAUAUUUGUGAACCCUUUCCACAUCCCGAGACGCCUUCUGAUGGCAACCUGGUCCACAAUUCAUAGCAGCAGUUCCACGGUCAGGCACUGAGGCCAUACACUUGACUCUGCUUCAAAGGUAAGCACAAGAGCACACCACCUCCUCUGCCUAUCUCUGGGCCGGCAUCACCCAGCCUGACUCCACCAGUAUCCACCAGAAUGGAGGGAAGCAUGGGUUUCUGGAGGAAAGGAUCUCAGCCCACAUAUCUCUCACCCAGCACCCACUCAGCACUUUCUCUAGGGCUCCCUUGCUGAGUGAUUGACAGGCACUAUUUCACGGAAUCUCUACCACAAUCUUAAGAGGUAGAGAUGCUUUUUAUGCCCAUUUUUACAGACGAAGAGAGUGUGGCUCAGAGAGGUUAAGUGACUGGAAAUUCAAGAAGAAAAGAACUAGAAAUAGAUGCAACUGGAAAUAGCCUCCCUUUUAUAUUUAAGUCCAUCUGGAUUCAAAGAGAGUUGUCUGCGGCUGGCAGUGCUGCGUGAGCCUGUGUGUUAGAUAUUAGGAGGAAUCUGGGGCUGGUCUCAAGGUUCCCAGAUCCUGACAUCUUUUAAGGACAUAAGCCAGGCAGCAAGAAGGGGACAAAGUCCACACACCUGGGUAGGGGUGCAUCUGGCUCUGGGACUCCAGUCACUGGGAGGAACUGGACCUGUGGGUGGGGAUGGGUCAGGGUGGGCUUCCUUUGAGAUCUUGCUGGCAGAGCUGCACACCCCCGGCCUGGUCCCCCUGAACUCCAUUUGCCCAUCCCCACUCUAGGGGAAAAAUGGAGUGGCCCAGAGAGGCUGUCAGAGUCCUAGAAGGAUAGAGACCCACUGUAGGAUUUGGUCUCUCCACAGCUUUGCUCAUUAGUAAGUUCAUUAGUAAACUUUUGUUGAGUCUUUCCCAGGCCUGGAGAUACGGAGAUGACUAAGGUACAGCCCCGAAGAGGGCUUACAGACCAUCAGAGGAGACAGGUUAGAAAUGGUUGUGCUGAGAAGCGUGCUAGAACACUGGAAGAGAUGAGCCUGUUGCCGAACCCAUUUCCACUGCGAUGCAAGCGUAUGUUAAUGCUGUCCCCGAAGAAUGGCGCUGUGGGACAGGGUCUGCUUUGGGUCAGGCAAUCAAGUUUCCAAACACAGGACCAGCCCUUGUCCCACAGGAUCUCAGAGACUCUUGUGGGCCUCAGUUUUCCAAAUGGGAUCAUAGACCCAGUCCUUGAUGAAAUUAUGUGCUUAGAGCACUUAGCUCAGUGCCCAGCACUUAUGAGGUAGUUAGUAAAGUCUCUAACACCUGUCAGAAUGGCUGAAGUAAUAAUGAGAACGAAUAAACACUGCCAGCAAUCCCA
ensembl:lncRNA